UAGUUUAACGUCUUCCCGGGA
ensembl:piRNA 21ur-7722 ncRNA